rnacentral:tRNA from 1 species
GCGGGCAUAGCUCAGUGGUAGAGCAUUAGCUUCCCAAGCUGAGGGUCGUGGGUUCGAUCCCCAUUGCCCGCUCAA